rnacentral:rRNA from 1 species
UACGAAGGGGGCUAGCGUUGUUCGGAAUUACUGGGCGUAAAGCGCACGUAGGCGGCUUUGUAAGUUAGAGGUGAAAGCCCAGAGCUCAACUCUGGAACUGCCUUUAAGACUGCAUCGCUUGAAUUGUGGAGAGGUAAGUGGAAUUCCGAGUGUAGAGGUGAAAUUCGUAGAUAUUCGGAAGAACACCAGUGGCGAAGGCGGAUCUCUGGGCCAUUACUGACGCUGAGGAGCGAAAGCGUGGGGAGCCGAACAGGA